UCUGAAAUGGUUUAGUUGGUUAUGACGACUGCCUCACACGUAGAAGGUCCCGAGUUCGAUUGUCGGUUCUAGUA